rnacentral:rRNA from 1 species
UAUGACCUGGGGCUACAAACGUGAUACAAUGGCUGUUACAAAGAGUAGCUGAAGCGCGAGUUUUUAGCCAAUCUCAAAAAAGCAGUCUCAGUUCGGAUUGAAGUCUGUAACUCGACUUCAUGAAGUUGGAAUCGCUAGUAAUCGCGAAUCAGCACGUCGCGGUGAAUACGUUCUCGGGGUUUGUACACACCGCCCGUCAAACCACGAAAGUUAGCAAUACCCGAAAGCAGCGGCUUAACUUCGCAAGAAGAGGGAACUGUCUAAGGUAGGGUUGAUGAUUGGGGUUAAGUCGUAACAAGGUAUCCCUACCGGAAGGUGGGGAUGGAUCACCUCCUUUC